AGAGUUUUAAGUGUCUUAAUUUGGGUCCUUAAUAGGGUGACAAUAGGGAAUGCACCGGGCAAGUUUUUCCCUCUUUCAGUUGGACAUUUUGCAGAGAGGUGAGCUGAGAGGUGGGCACUGCACACACAGUUUUGAAAUAAUCUUUUCAUCCUUUGCAGGCAGUCUUUCCAAACAUUCAGCCAGACGUCCAAGAGACAGAAAAGUCAGCAAAUGUUCUGGUGGAAACUGGGCCUGUAUCCUACAACCAUGAGGAAGACGUGGAAGAAGAAGAGGUGGAAGAGGAGGAGGACCACUGCAUGAGCGCCCUGCAACUAAUGGGAGGAAAUGAUUAUGGUUGCGAUAUGGAUGACGACGAUGGAUAUUAAUCCUUUUUGUAUCCAGAUUAGUGUGGCGAAAUAAGCUACCUGGUGAUGCAAGCAAACCUUGAUGACUUCUAAAGAGACAAAUUCAUUAUGAAUUUUAGUGAGUUUCCACUCACCUGUUGCCUGGCACCAGUUUGGCUUUAGAAUACUUGAAGCGUUUCUGGAUCAUGUUGCGGGAAAAGGAUUGACUGAAGAAAUAAUUCCGGAAAAAUGAAGGAGAGGAACCAAAUGUUUGGCACAAUUCGACAUCUUCUGUCGGACCCUUGUUUGCGGCUGCCUUUGACUGAGCCACAUUGCUGUAAAGAUGCAUAUAAAGAAGAGAAACAACCCACUCAGUGAACAAAUUGCUCCUAAAAAGCAAUUUGAAAAAUUUGAAAAAGCUUUGGACAGUAGAGGUGCUAAAAGCGCAUUCGUCAGUAGCAGAAGUCUCCCUGCGGCUUCGUGCGCAUAUUUCCAUACUGAAAGACUCACGAAUAAAUCACAUCUGGGUGAUGCAUGGAAUGCCCUGGCAACUCCCCUCGGAAAGCAGUCCUGAACACUUGCCUUUUCAUGCCACAAAAUUGCCCUGGGACUAGGCCACUGCUGGGCAGGAGUCUCUGCCCUGCUGUAAGACAACAGCGGCACUCAUUUGAUUCUGUUUUUGUUUGUUUAACACGAUCUGAAUAAGUAAUGGGAGCAUUUGGCUGGUUUAUCAGAGUAGAGACUUCAGGGGUGCUGCUUCCAUACGGGGCAUGUCCUAUUAUUCUUGUAGCAAGAAAAUUAAGCUAGGUCUUUUUUCAUGCACUGUUGCUAUUGAUAGAGGCGGGUUAAGCAGAAGAAGAUCAGGGGAGAAUGCUUGGGAUAAGCCAGACACCCCUGUGCCAGGCCAUGUGCUCCCUCACUCCAUAUCCCCCCUGCAGUAGUGUUAUUUUUAAAAACAAGUUCUUGAUUGUAGGUGCAGAGAGCAGUGCUCUUGGCUGGGAUCCCAAGGAAGUUUUAGUCGGCUUAACACAACGGACAGAUUGUCUCCGAGAUGAUGUUUCAUUUUUGUUUUAAAGCAAAUAAGCUAAGCCCCCCUCUUCGAUGUAAUUUAAUUUAAUAGUAUUUAGUGAGAUUGGUAUGGCUGCAUUAAAGGCUCCGCCAUGGAACAAGCUUGACCAUGCUUUGCUCUCUCCAUGUUUGCCAGUCCGUGCUAUUGCAGUAACUGGCAGAAGGUGCAACUUGGUGAAUCAAAGCUUAAAACUCAACUGUUUCCUGUUCCAAACUCAGUAAGAUGGAUUCUUCCCAAAUUCUGACUAAACAGGACUGCAAGUUGAGCAGUGUUUGACUUCUUCAGCUUUCAAGCACUACUGUGUUCAUUUCCUGGGAAACUGAUUGCCUGCCCCAUCCAAACAAAACGAAAACCCAUUUCUCACUUUGGCCUUGUCUGUGUCAAGGUCAAGCCACUUCUUCCUGCCCUAUUGCUUGGCUUUACCAGCGUUCGGAGCUGGAGAAUCUAGCUCCCAGCUAGACAGCAAGAUGAAAAGCGGCUUCCCUGAACAGAGUCCAAGGCUUCAUGCUUGGAUGGUAAACAGGAUCUGAGCUGUCCCACUUCAGACUGCAGGUGGGGACAUUCCUUCUCAAAUGUUCUUCCAUGCAAAUAAUGACAGCAACAGAUCCCUCCUUGUGGGCGACUUCGGCUAGCAGGAUGGGUUUCCUGUACUGCCGUAUUUUUCUUCCAACUGGAAGAGCAUUUGGUCAAUACACACCAUAUCCCAGCCAACACCUGCAGUGUGAAAUGGUACAGCCCAAAGGCACGAUCAUGGCCUCUGUGAGAAUCACACCCAAGUCAUGGUGGGGUGUAUAUGGAGGGCGGGGGCGGGGGCCAGUGCUUCCUUCUCAACCUCCCCUAAUGUAAUUUUCCUAAUUUUAUUAUCUAGUUGCUCAGUCAGAACGUUCAACUUGUCACAUCUGGCUUCUUUUUUCAGUAGCAUUCUGGCCACUUUUGCUUUGGUGGAGAUAGUUGUGGCAACAUAAUGGAUGUGUUCACUGUUAGAGGAACAACAAGCCAACAUUAGAAACAAGCUCUGCCUUUUUUUAGGGACCAAGUACUGGCUAAGGGUUUGCAAACACUUCACCUGAGCAGGUGAUGUUUGCUCUUUGGAACGAUGGCAUUCCAAGGUGGUAAAAGUUUACAUCAGCAACUCCCUCACCAAAUUUCAUUAAAAAAUCUCUGCCAGACAUCACUGCUUGGAAACUGCUCUCGUUACCAUGUCAGUGUUGGCUGGGGAGGGAAUAAAACAAAUGUAUAAUUAAGUCUGUUGUGACAACAGCCAAGUUCCCCCUUCCCACUGCCAGCGGCCCCCCCUGCCACGCAGUUGGGUGGGUGCGCCAUGACAUUCGCUGCCUCAUUCUCACAGGGACUGUCCAGUGAGAAUGGCAGUUGCUUUUGCCAGAGGGGCUUCCUUGGGGCCAGGGCACCACCAUGGAAGCGAGCUGCAUGCUCCGAGUGCCCACUUGGGGUGCCAAUUACAGAAAUUGCCGGAAGGCUUUUGCAGGAAGAGGCACGCCACGGAAUCUUCUUAUGCAAGCUCAUUUUGAGCCUUUAGCAGUUUCAGUGCAGCAGCAAGGACAAACGUGCCCCUGUUGAACCUCUGCCUGCUCCUCAACCCUGACAUUCUUAGGAACUGGCCGCCCUGGCAUACUUACUUGGCUCAUUAAGGUAUUUUUACUGGGGAUUCUGAGGGCCAGAUGAGAGACGAAGCAGAUCUGUGAGCAGGUCGAAAUGCUGCAGAAAGCAGCUUUGUAAGCGACACCCUGAAUUGGGCCCACAAGUUUGGGGGAGAGAGUUGAACCUCUUCUCCACAUUUUUGUUCCGUUAAAUGUGUGGCCCAGCCUAGGGGUUGCUGUUUGCCCUCUUAAAGAAAGUUUAUGAGGACUUGUAAGUUACCUGUGAUGGGGCAAACAGCACCAGGGGUCAUUCUGUGUCAAAAACAGGAAGGAGGGCUUGAAGCACGAGAGUCUCUGUGUACUCUUGUUCCCCUCAAAAUACCUUUCCCACUCCUCAGGGCUACAUCUUUUGCAAAACUGCAGAGAUGGGGAGAUCCAGUCCCAGGUAUCUCUCGUCUUGUUGGGUUUUGCUCAUAAAGAAAAUGCCUGCUUUCUCUGCAGAAGAAUUAAAGUGGUCCUUUGACUAUCCAGUCCUGCUGCCCUCAGUGUUCAAGUAAUCAUUAUAUCCGCUUGUCCUUCUUUCAUUCCGUAUCAGAUGUAAAACAUGGUGCUGAAAUGUUUUGCUUCCCGAGAAAUGUCUGUAUAUAUUUGGAUAGCUAUUGCAUUUCUCUGGGCAUGUAUGUGUACUAAUCUUUGAACAUUUGCCUUUGCCCAAGUUCUUUUAAAGUGGCAUGACACUCGAGGAGACCGCCCAAGUUGGAAGGGGCUUUGUUCCGAAAUACAAAUGAUUUUGUCUGAAAGAAGUUAUAUAAUGUUAGCUCUGGGAAAACAAAACAAAACAAGAGAACGUCUUCCUUGCCUAGCGCCCUUCCUGAAUUUUGUCUUCUAUGAGAUUGUUAAGAACAGCCUUUCCCGACUUUGUGCGCUCUCAGUGUGUUGAACUACAGCCUCUGGCAUUCCCAGCCGACAUGCCCAAGGCUGGGUGCGUGUGAUGGCAGUUGUAGUCCAGCAUUUUUGGAAGCUGCCACGUUAGGGAAGGCUCAAUCCGCCUAGCUGGCUCCCAUGCCCAGUUCCUUGCAGAGGAGCAUCAUGGAGAGCUGGGUGCCGUGCUUGUGCACGGGGAAGCCGGAACCGAAGGCGACAGUCAGGGAGGCUCGUCGGGGGCCGUUCACAAGCCAGCAGCUUCUCCUAAGAAUGGCUUUUUUUUAGCCACGGCACAACCAGGGAGGUACGGAGAGGGUUGUCUUGUGCAUGCAGAAGGAUGGAUUUUCUAUUUACCUUACUGUUUAUAUGGAUUUUCAACCCCACUUUGCACUUCCUAAUCCACAUAAUACUGUGUGAGAAUUUCUUCUCGGUCAUUUUCUCCUCCUCCUCUCUAAUGUUCAUUUCUCCUUGCUGUGUCUAAGCUCAGGGAAUGCAAAUGGAUUAGCAGGUGCCACUUUCUGUUGUCCUAACUACUUAGGCAAAUGUUAAGAAGGCGCACGCCAGCACCAGCUCUCAGCUGCCAGCGGAUCACCGUGACCUUGAAGGAAGCAUUUUGCUGAAUUUCUCUGGAAGUCAUUUGGAUAUUGCUGUGUUCCAGACUCAAAUGAUGAUGAAAGAUUAUAGGGUUUCAAGAACAGUUAGCUUUCGAUUAUGAGAUGCGAAUCUUGGCUGUGUGUGCCAUACAUUUAGAAGCUACUAAAUUAGUCAAAAUCCCCCAGCUGUGAGUGUUAACGCUUUUCCAUGUUCUUUUUAACUCCUUGGUCACUUGGCCACUUGUCCAUCCGCUCCCCCUGGCAGUGCUGGCGCACGGACCUUGGGCCAGGCUCUCCCUGCGAAGACCUCGUUGUGCCGGUUCAGUUCACACAACUGCCUCUUCCUCAUCCUCCUCUGUCUCUUUAGAGAAGGCUCCGACAUAGUCGAACUGUUGUGGACAGCCACCCUCUAGAUGUCACCUGCAUGGUCUCUUCGCUCCCAGGGAAGCAGGAGGUUGUAUCCAACCUAAAUGACUGGGCCAUAGGUUAAAGGUGGAUGUAACCCAAUGGCAGCAUCCCAGGAAAUAUGAGCAGAGCUCUGGGGCUAGAGAAAUGUUGGCAACCCGUGAAUUCACAGGCACCCCCAGACUCCCCUCUAUCUCUACCCGACAUGCCGUUAUUCAUGCAAGUCUGACUUCAGUGGGGAGCAGCUAAACAGAGGCGUGCGGAGCACUGUUUAAAACCCUCUUCCAUGGCCAUUUUCCCUCUAUUGUUUGCUUUCUCUCUGGAUUGUGUGGGAGUUCAGUAUUUCAGGGUGGCUUUCAUUGCAAAGGAAUUGUGCUGCUUGUUUGUGCGUUAACAAGACCAGUGCAUUUGGCAGCGUGUGAGUGCCAGUGGAUCACAACGACCUGUGAGCAUCUUGGAUGGGCCCCACCAAUCUGCACCAGAAGUGAUGCUGUGCUGUUUUGCUGUCGAACAAAUGUAAUAUCUGUAAAUACUUUACCUUAUCUUGGAUUAUGUGUUCUUGAAAAUCCUGCCUUCUAUUAGUUGGUGGUGUUUUUUUUAAUUUCUAUUUAAUGUCUCUGUGACUUGGAUGGGAAUGUACAAAAAUGCUUGUGUAAAUCCUAUUUUGUCUUCAUGAAGCAAGGCAUUUCUUAAUCA